rnacentral:pre_miRNA from 1 species
AAACAGCCCCCUAUGUUUUGAUUCUUUGACAUUUUUGGACCCCCAAGGCAAAAAAAUAAAAAAAAAAAUUGACACGUGGCACCUCACUUAGAGUGCCACGUCAGCGUUGACCGAGUCAACAAUGGACUAGGGGUCCAAAACUACCAAAGAAUCAAAACAUAGGGGGUUGUUU